rnacentral:lncRNA from 1 species
AGUUAGAAAAGACAUUGGUACAGCAGGCAUGGUGGUACACACACACCGGUAAUCCCAGCACUUCGAAGGCUCAGGCAGAAGGAAAGAUUGCCCCGAAUUCAAGGCCAACCUGGGCUACACUGUGAGUUCAAGGCCAGCCUGCACUACAUAGUGAGACCGUGUCUCAAAAAAUACCAAGAAAGAAACACAAAAAAGCAAAAAGAAGAGAGAUUGAUAGCGCCCUUGCAGUGCAUUUCGUCCCUGAAAUCUCAUAACAGCAAUACCAGUACCAUGGGAUUAAUACCUAAAUUUCAGUGCCAUGUGUCUUCUACACAUGGUUUCCAGGAAGUUGUGUACAUUUUGAAAACAUUUCAUCCCUAUAAUGGUCCCAGGGCCCAGGCACUAUUGUAGAGUGAGCAUCUGAGAUAGACAGAUGCCUUGUUCAGAGAAGCCUGGCUUGUAAGUGCUGAGAUCCUUUGAGUCUGGGGCUUGUUUAUCAAACCCCUACUUCAUAUCAGCGCGCUAAGGAAGACAUUGUUUUCCUCAUCUAAAUUCAGAUAGCUUGCCAGACUGCCCUGUUGACAUACAGCUAAUACCUAGCGAAUAUGCAUCGAUAAUGAAGCGAUCCCAGCUGCCCCUGCGUGGUGAUACAGCCCUGAGCUGACCACAUUCCAGAGGGGCGCAGAGAGUCUAAGGGAUGUGAGAAACAAUCCCUCCUUCCACAAAGUAGUCCUCAUAGGCAAGUCAGGACCUUGCUGUUUUUUCAUAUAUUAAACCCAGAUUGUACUCCUAUCAUUUGGGUUUACCGAUCCGAAUUCCAUUCUGCAGAGACACACAAAACGCCCAAACCUCGGUUGUCUUAAAAAUCUUCUGCAGAUAAAAGCUAACAAUGGGAACUGACGCUUGGUGUUUGUUAUGCCAAGUUCCUCCCAAGGAGUUCUCACAGGUGCGUUCGUGGAGCCCUACGACAGCCCUGCGAGAUCACUGGCAGAAUGGCCUGUGGGCAGACAAGUGCCACACCCGGGCCCACAGAACUGAGCUGCAGAAGGACGAGGAGCUGGGCCAGCGUCAGAUGUGCCCUCCUCACUGCACUGAUUUACGCCCUUGGUCCAUGGGUGUCUCCUUUAUUUUCUGGCCUCUCCGCAGCCUGGUUACCUUUUCACCUUCAUUACACACUUCAUAAGCUAUCAGUGCUUCAGGGCAUUAGCUGUCCCUUGCCACAGCUAUCCAGUACCUCCUUCACACCGCCCAGUGGCUUCCUGCCUAGCCAGCUCUCAGCCAGAGGAGGUACUGGGAGGCCAGAGGAGCAAGAAUGAGAUGGGUCCAGCGCCUUGAAGCCUGGCUUGCCUUCCCCUUUGUGUACAGCCAAACAUUUACAUUCAUUCAUAACAUGCUGGGAGUGGAACACACCAGACAAGAGAGAUCCUUUUCAAAGCAUGGUUGUGAGCUCGUGGCUGGAUGGACACUGUACAGAGUGGCCCUGAACAUCAGGCAGCCCAGAGAGGGACCCCUCUGCCCAUGUCCUGCCCGGGACCUGUGGGGCUGGCCUUGCCCUUCUUUGGCCACGCGUUCCUUGCUCACGAGGGAGGCGUGGAAUUCCUCUCUCUGAGCUAGUGUCCUUCACACAUUUGGGGCCUGCUGGACAGGAAGUCAUCAAUAAUUGCUAGUUGCUGUUUUGUUCUAAAGCCAGAGUUAGUCAAACCUGGCCUGGCCUGCUGCCUGCUUUUGGAAUGGAGUGUCGGGAUGCAGCCACACCAAUGUGUUCACGUUUUUUUGUACAUUGUCUAUAAGCUGUUUUAUGCCACUGUGGCAGAAGGAGUUGUCAGAGAGACCCUAAGACCCAUGUAGUCCAGAAAAAUCCCUGUCUGGAUAAAGGGCGGGGAUUCCCCAGCUCCCUUGUCAUCCUUGGACCUGGAACCUUGGCGGAUCACUGCUGAUCUCCGUCCUCUGCUUCUUCAUCUGGAAUAAAGAUCCACUUUCUACUGAAGAAUAAGUACGCUGAAAGCUGUACCUUAGAGAUCCCGCUGUCAUUUUCUUUGCUUGGUAAUUCCGCAUUUUGCUCACCAGACGUUUGUGCUAAAUUCCUGCGAUACAGACACGGGUAGCACGUUGCUCUUCAUCUUCCACUCACAGAUGGAGAAGUGGAGGCGUGGGAGUGCUGAGAUCUUCCCCACCUGUACAGUUGCACACGGCACUCUGGGGCCAUGGCUGGGUCUGGAGGAGAAAGGCAGUGUCAGCUAAACUCUUGAGUGAGCGAGCUGGUGCAGAGGGUUCCAGAAAGCUUCCCACAUGGAGGCCGCUGUGAGGACCCCAGACAGGCAGCGAGGAGAUGACCCCGUGAGACUUUUGAGCAGCAUUCCCUGUGCCUGGCACUGCCGGAGCUGUGGGGACCCGGGCACUGGGUGGCAAAUAGGCAGGGGUCAGGGCUCUGCGGGAACGGGGACGGACCUCAACCUAAGUCACUGUGUGUGCCAUUUUCAGUCAGCGCCCUGCGUUGGCCUGUGUCCAUACCGUCCCCCAUACGCAUAUGGAGACUGGAUGUAUGCGCAUUGGGCAGGAGCCUGUCCCUCUCUGUCGCACUUGGAGAACCC